rnacentral:rRNA from 1 species
UACGUAGGGUGCGAGCGUUGCCCGGAUUUAUUGGGCGUAAAGGGCGCGUAGGCGGUCACGCACGUCCGUUGUGAAAUCGCUCGGCUCAACUGGGCGGGGUCAGCGGAUACGGUGUGACUGGAGCAAGCUAGGGGGCAAUGGAAUUCCCGGUGUAGUGGUGGAAUGCGUAGAUAUCGGGAGGAACACCAGUGGCGAAGGCGGUUGCCUGGAGCUUUGCUGACGCUGAUGCGCGAAAGCCAGGGGAGCAAACGGG